AUUGAACGCUGGCGGCAGGCCUAACACAUGCAAGUCGAGCGGAUGAAGAGAGCUUGCUCUCUGAUUUAGCGGCGGACGGGUGAGUAAUGCCUAGGAAUCUGCCUGGUAGUGGGGGAUAACGUCCGGAAACGGGCGCUAAUACCGCAUACGUCCUACGGGAGAAAGCAGGGGACCUUCGGGCCUUGCGCUAUCAGAUGAGCCUAGGUCGGAUUAGCUAGUUGGUGAGGUAAUGGCUCACCAAGGCUACGAUCCGUAACUGGUCUGAGAGGAUGAUCAGGCACACUGGAACUGAGACACGGUCCAGACUCCUACGGGAGGCAGCAGUGGGGAAUAUUGGACAAUGGGCGAAAGCCUGAUCCAGCCAUGCCGCGUGUGUGAAGAAGGUCUUCGGAUUGUAAAGCACUUUAAGUUGGGAGGAAGGGCAGUAAGUUAAUACCUUGCUGUUUUGACGUUACCGACAGAAUAAGCACCGGCUAACUUCGUGCCAGCCGCCGCGGUAAAAC
rnacentral:rRNA from 1 species